ACAAGCACAGAGAGACACCUAUUAGAUCAGACAAUAUAGACCAGACACAGCAUAACUAAACCCUAACAGGAUACCUUACCAAUGUCUACUAGUCUGUACUGGGGUCUACUGGUCUGUACUGGGGUCUACCGGUCUGUACUGGGGUCUACCAGUCUCUACUGGGGUCUACUAGUCUCUACUGGGGUCUACCAGUCUCUACUGGGGUCUACCAGUCUCUACUGGGGUCUACUAGUCUCUACUGGGGUCUACUAGUCUGUACUGGGGUCUACUAGUCUGUACUGGGGUCAACCGGUCUGUACUGGGGUCUACUGGUCUGUACUGGGGUCUACCGGUCUGUACUGGGGUCUACCGGUCUGUACUGGGGUCUACCGGUCUGUACUGGGGUCUACCGGUCUGUACCGGGGUCUACCGGUCUGUACCGGUGUCUACUGGUCUGUACCGGGGUCUACUGGUCUGUACCGGGGUCUACUGGUCUCUACUGGGGUCUACUGGUCUCUACUGGGGUCUACUAGUCUCUACUGGGGUCUACUGCUCUCUACUGGGGUCUACCGGUCUCUACCAGGGUCUACUAGUCUGUACCGGGGUCUACUAGUCUGUACUGGGGUCUACUGGUCUGUACCGGGGUCUACUGGUCUGUACUGGGGUCUACUGGUCUGUACUGGGGUCUAUUAGUCUCUACUGGGGUCUACUGGUCUGUACUGGGGUCUACCGGUCUCUACUGGGGUCUACUAGUCUCUACUGGGGUCUACCAGUCUCUACUGGGGUCUACUAGUCUCUACCGGGGUCUACUAGUUUCUACUAGUCUGUACUAGUGUCUACUAAUGUCUACUAGUUUCUACUAGUCUGUACUAGUGUCUACUAGUGUCUACUAGUUUCUACUAGUCUGUACUAGUGUCUACUAGUUUCUACUAGUCUGUACUAGUGUCUACUAGUGUCUACUCGUGUCUACUAGUCUGUACUAGUGUCUACUCAUUUCUACUAGUCUGUACUAGUGUCUACUAGUGUCUACUCGUGUCUACUAGUCUGUACUAGUGUCUACUCGUUUCUACUAGUCUGUACUAGUGUCUACUAGUUUCUACUAGUCUGUACUAGUGUCUACUAGUUUCUACUAGUCUGUACUAGUGUCUACUAGUGUCUACUAGUCUGUACUAGUGUCUACUAGUCUGUACUAGUGUCUACUAGUUUCUACUAGUCUGUACUAGUGUCUACUCGUUUCUACUAGUGUCUACUCGUUUCUACUGGUCUGUACUAGUGUCUACUCGUUUCUACUAGUGUCUACUAGUUUCUACUAGUCUGUACUAGUAUCUACUAGUGUCUACUAGUCUGUACUAGUUUCUACUAGUCUGUACUAGUGUCUACUCAUUUCGACUGGUCUGUACUAGUGUCUACUCGUUUCUACUAGUGUCUACUUGUUUCUACUAGUGUCUACUAGUUUCUACUAGUUUCUACUAGUGUCUACUAGUUUCUACUGGUCUGUACUAGUGUCUAUUCGUUUCUACUAGUGUCUACUAGUAUCUACUAGUGUCUACUAGUCUGUACUAGUUUCUACUAGUCUGUACUAGUGUCUACUAGUUUCUACUGGUCUGUACUAGUGUUUACUCGUUUCUACUAGUGUCUACUAGUUUCUACUAGUGUCUACUAGUUUCUACUGGUCUGUACUAGUGUCUAUUCGUUUCUACUAGUGUCUACUAGUAUCUACUAGUGUCUACUAGUCUGUAAUAGUUUCUACUAGUCUGUACUAGUGUCUACUCGUUUUGACUGGUCUGUACUAGUGUCUACUCGGUUCUACUAGUCUGUACUAGUUUCUACUAGUCUGUACUAGUGUCUACUCGUUUCGACUGGUCUGUACUAGUGUCUACUCGUUUCUACUAGUGUCUACUCGUUUCUACUAGUGUCUACUAGUUUCUACUGGUCUGUACUAGUGUCUACUCGUUUCUACUAGUGUCUACUCGUUUCUACUAGUGUCUACUCGUUUCUACUAGUGUCUACUAGUUUCUACUGGUCUGUACUAGUGUCUACUCGUUUCUACUAGUGUCUACUAGUAUCUACUAGUGUCUACUAGUCUGUACUAGUUUCUACUAGUCUGUACUAGUGUCUACUCGUUUCGACUGGUCUGUACUAGUGUCUACUCGUUUCUACUAAUGUCUACUCGUUUCUACUAGUGUCUACUCGUUUCUACUGGUCUGUACUAGUGUCUACUAGUGUCUACUAGUUUCUACUGGUCUGUACUAGUGUCUACUCGUUUCUACUAGUGUCUACUCGUUUCUACUAGUGUCUACUAGUUUCUACUGGUCUGUACUAGUGUCUACUCGUUUCUACUAGUGUCUACUCGUUUCUACUAGUGUCUACUAGUUUCUACUGGUCUGUACUAGUGUCUACUCGUUUCUACUAGUGUCUACUCGUUUCUACUAGUGUCUACUAGUUUCUACUAGUGUCUACUAGUUUCUACUGGUCUGUACUAGUGUCUACUCGUUUCUACUAGUGUCUACUAGUUUCUACUGGUCUGUACUAGUGUCUACUCGUUUCUACUAGUUUCUACUAGUUUCUACUGGUCUGUACUAGUGUCUACUCGUUUCUACUAGUGUCUACUAGUUUCUACUGGUCUGUACUAGUGUCUACUCGUUUCUACUAGUUUCUACUAGUGUGUACUCGUUUCUACUGGUCUGUACUAGUGUCUACUCGUUUCUACUAGUUUCUACUAGUGUCUACUCGUUUCUACUAGUGUCUACUAGUUUCUACUGGUCUGUACUAGUGUCUACUAGUGUCUACUAGUGUCUACUAGUUUCUACUGGUCUGUACUAGUGUCUACUAGUGUCUACUAGUUUCUACUGGUGUCUACUAGUGUGUACUCGUUUCUACUAGUGUCUACUAGUGUCUACUAGUGUCUACUAGUUUCUACUAGUGUCUACUCGUUUCUACUGGUCUGUACUUGCCUCCACAGUCUUCGUACUUGUUCUGGUCCGUCUGCCUCUCCUCAUCGUACAUCUCCAGGAAGUCCUUGAUGCUCUUGGUGUACUUCAGAUACGUCUCCACAUCGUUGAUAUUGUAAGAGAUCUCAAACUUUUCAGAGCGUGGGGUGUGGGAUAGACCUGUAGGUAGACAACACACUGGGUCAGUAUGGAUGAUAGACAACACACUGGGUUAGUAUGGAUGAUAGACCUGUAGUUAGACAACACACUGGGUCAGUAUGGAUGGUAGACCUGUAGGUAGACAACACACUGGGUUAGUAUGGAUGAUAGACAACACACUGGGUUAGUAUGGAUGGUAGACCUGUAGAUAGACAACACACUGGGUCAGUAUGGAUGGUAGACCUGUAGGUAGACAAAACACUGGGUUAGAAUGGAUGAUAGACAACACACUGGGUUAGUAUGGAUGGUAGACAACACACUGGGUCAGUAUGGAUGAUAGACCUGUAGGUAGACAACACACUGGGUUAGUAUGGAUGAUAGACAACACACUGGGUUAGUAUGGAUGGUAGACCUGUAGAUAGACAACACACUGGGUUAGUAUGGAUGAUAGACAACACACUGGGUUAGUAUGGAUGGUAGACAACACACUGGGUUAGUAUGGAUGGUAGACAACACAAUGGGUUAGUAUGGAUGGUAGACAACACACUGGGUUAGUAUGGAUGGUAGACAACACACUGGGUCAGUAUGGAUGAUAGACCUGUAGGUAGACAACACACUGGGUCAGUAUGGAUGAUAGACAACACACUGGGUCAGUAUGGAUGAUAGACAACACACUGGGUUAGUAUGGAUGAUAGACAACACACUGGGUUAGUAUGGAUGGUAGACCUGUAGGUAGACAACACACUGGGUUAGUAUGGAUGGUAGACAACACACUGGGUUAGUAUGGAUGAUAGACAACACACUGGGUUAGUAUGGAUGGUAGACAACACACUGGGUUAGUAUGGAUGGUAGACAACACACUGGGUUAGUAUGGAUGGUAGACCUGUAGGGAGACAACACACUGGGUCAGUAUGGAUGAUAGACAACAUACUGGGUCAGUAUGGAUGAUAGACCUGUAGGUAGACAACACACUGGGUUAGUAUGGAUGGUAGACAACACACUGGGUUAGUAUGGAUGGUAGACAACACACUGGGUUAGUAUGGAUGAUAGACCUGUAGGUAGACAACACACUGGGUUAGUAUGGAUGGUAGACAACACACUGGGUUAGUAUGGAUGAUACACAACACACUGGGUUAGUAUGGAUGGUAGACCUGUAGGUAGACAACACACUGGGUUAGUAUGGAUGAUAGACAACACACUGGGUCAGUAUGGAUGGUAGACCUGUAGGUAGACAACACACUGCGUUAGUAUGGAUGAUAGACAACACACUGGGUUAGUAUGGAUGGUAGACAACACACUGGGUUAGUAUGGAUGGUAGACAACACAAUGGGUUAGUAUGGAUGAUAGACCUGUAGGUAGACAACACACUGGGUUAGUAUGGAUGAUAGACAACACACUGGGUCAGUAUGGAUGGUAGACAACACACUGGGUUAGUAUGGAUGAUAGACCUGUAGGUAGACAACACACUGGGUUAGUAUGGAUGGUAGACAACACACUGGGUUAGUAUGGAUGAUAGACCUGUAGGUAGACAACACACUGGGUUAGUAUGGAUGAUAGACAACACACUGGGUCAGUAUGGAUGGUACAGAUAAAACACCAGUAUAACCAUAGAAUGAGUCCACAUUGAUGAAUCAGUGUGAGUAGACAACACUGUACAGGAUUAUAAAUGACCCAUUCAAAAGGUCUACUGAAAACCCAAAACACUACAUACCAAUGUAAUAAAAAUACCGAAUCCUGAUUUAACUGACUUUAUUUCAGAUGAAAAUCAACAUUCAUUUUUUAGCUAUAAAUGAG
rnacentral:lncRNA from 1 species